GACGAACGCUGGCGGCGUGCUUAACACAUGCAAGUCGAACGAAGAGCGAUGGAAUCUUGCUUCUAUCAAUCUUAGUGGCGAACGGGUGAGUAACGCGUAAUCAACCUGCCCUUCAGAGGUGGACAACAGUUGGAAACGACUGCUAAUACCGCAUACUAUCUAAUCUCGGCAUCGAGGAUAGAUUAAAGGUGGCCUCUACAUGUAACCUAUCACUUAAGGAGGGGAUUGCGUCUGAUUAGCUAGUUGGAGUGGUAACGGCCCACCAAGGCGAUGAUCAGUAGCAGGGAUGAGAGGAUGAAUGGCCACACUGGGACUGAGACACGGCCCAGACUGCUACGGGAGGCAGCAGUGGGGAAUCGUCCGCAAGGGACGAAAGUCUGACGGAGCAACGCCGAGUGAGUGAGGACGGACUUCGGGUUGUAAAGCUCUGUUAAUCGGGACGAAAGGGCUUCUUGCGAAUAGUGAGAAGGAUUGACGGUACCGGAAUAGAAAGCCACGGCUAACUACGUG
rnacentral:rRNA from 1 species